rnacentral:RNase_P_RNA from 1 species
CAAGGCCGGCGCGCAAGCGCCGGGUGGAAACACCGCACUGGAGGAACGUCCGGACUGCGCAGGGCAGCGUAGCAGCUAACGGCUGUCCACUGAAACCCGGGCACGCAAGUGUCCGGCAUAAGGUGAGGAUCAGAGCAACAGAGACGAGUCGCAACUGGGGGCAACCCCUGGUGCGGGUGAAACGGGCAAUCUCUACGCGCAGCAAUACCAAAUAGGCACACGCGCCGUGCCGCAGUUCGCUGCGGCAGGGUACCCGGGGCCCCCGGGAGUGUGCGGGUAGGUAGCACCGAGCCGCCGGGUGACCGGCGGCCCAGAUUAAUGACAGUCACGUGGGGGGCAACCCCCGCGCACAGAAUCCGGCUUAUCGGUGGGCUUCACAC